AGAGUCGUUGAGGAUAUCUCACUUUGCGGUUAUGAGCCUGAACAACAUUGACGACGCUUAAAGUGUCUGAGACUCU
rnacentral:snoRNA from 1 species